UACGAAGGGGGCUAGCGUUGCUCGGAAUCACUGGGCGUAAAGGGUGCGUAGGCGGGUCUUUAAGUCAGGGGUGAAAUCCUGGAGCUCAACUCCAGAACUGCCUUUGAUACUGAAGAUCUUGAGUUCGGGAGAGGUGAGUGGAACUGCGAGUGUAGAGGUGAAAAUUCGUAGAUAUUCGCAAGAACACCAGUGGCGAAGGCGGCUCACUGGCCCGAUACUGACGCUGAGGCACGAAAGCGUGGGGAAGCAAACAGG
rnacentral:rRNA from 1 species